rnacentral:rRNA from 1 species
CAGGCCUAACACAUGCAAGUCGAACGCAUCCUUCGGGAUGAGUGGCAGACGGGUGAGUAACACGUGGGAACGUACCCUUUGGCUCGGAACAACUCCGGGAAACUGGAGCUAAUACCGGAUACGCCCUUUUGGGGAAAGGUUUAAUGCCGAAGGAUCGGCCCGCGUCUGAUUAGCUAGUUGGUGGGGUCGGCCUACCAAGGCGACGAUCCUUAGCUGGUCUGAGAGGAUGAUCAGCCACACUGGGACUGAGACACGGCCCAGACUCCUACGGGAGGCAGCAGUGGGGAAUAUUGGACAAUGGGCGCAAGCCUGAUCCAGCAAUGCCGCGUGAGUGAUGAAGGCCUUAGGGUUGUAAACCUCUUUUCCCCAGGGAAGAAGCGGAGAGAGAUUGGUACCGGGGAGAAAAAGCACCGGCUAAAUACGUGCCAUCAGCC